rnacentral:rRNA from 1 species
AGUGAACGCUGGCGGCGUGCUUAACACAUGCAAGUCGAACGAGAACGGGUUAUAGCUUGCUAUAAUUGUCAGCUAAGUGGCGCACGGGUGAGUAAUGUAUAGGUAAUAUGCCUCUUACUAAGGGAUAACAAAUGGAAACGUUUGCUAAUACCUUAUACUCCUUAUUAACAUAAGUUAAUAAGGGAAAGAUUUAUUGGUAAGAGAUUAGCCUGUAUUGUAUCAGUUAGUUGGUGGGGUAAUGGCUUACCAAGACUAUGACACAUAACUAGUUUGAGAGGAUGAUCAGUCACACUGGAACUGAGACACGGUCCAGACUCCUACGGGAGGCAGCAGUGGGGAAUAUUGCACAAUGGACGAAAGUCUGAUGCAGCAACGCCGCGUGGAGGAUGACACAUUUCGGUGCGUAAACUCCUUUUAUAUGAGAAGAUAAUGACGGUAUUAUAUGAAUAAGCGCCGGCUAACUCCGUGCCAGCAGCCGCCGUAACAC